rnacentral:rRNA from 1 species
GACGAACGCUGGCGGCGUGCUUAACACAUGCAAGUCGAACGGAAAGGCCCUGCUUUUGUGGGGUGCUCGAGUGGCGAACGGGUGAGUAACACGUGAGUAACCUGCCCUUGACUUUGGGAUAACUUCAGGAAACUGGGGCUAAUACCGGAUAGGAGCUCCUGCUGCAUGGUGGGGGUUGGAAAGUUUCGGCGGUUGGGGAUGGACUCGCGGCUUAUCAGCUUGUUGGGGGGGUUGUGGCUUACCAAGGCUUUGACGGGUAGCCGGCCUGAGAGUGUGACCGGCCACAUGGGGACUGAGAUACGGCCCAGACGCCUACGGGAGGCAGCAGCGGGGAAUAGUGCACAAUGGGCGGAAGCCUGAUGCAGCAACGCCGCGUGCGGGAUGACGGCCUUCGGGUUGUAAACCGCUUUCGCCUGUGACGAAGCGUGAGUGACGGUAAUGGGUAAAGAAGCACCGGCUAACUACGU